CAAGAGGAUAUUGGGUGUGCUUGUUAGCUACUGGUCUGAGAAACUUCAGAGGAUGGUUGAAAACACUUAGCAGCCUUGGAGGUAGUGUCUGUAACUGCGGAAUCCCUUUUCAAGAAAUGCGCUUAUGGGAUGCAUUCGUCAUCUUUUACUAUGCCUUCCUGGGCAAUGAAGAUAGGGCAACAUACAAAGACAGUCAGUGGCAUCCUUGAAAAGCGUGGGGUACUAGAAGCUGGCUGGCUGGCUAAAGGAGUUGUGGAAGGAGUUGCGAAUCAGGUCCAAAAACUUCACAAAUGAAGGGAAGAUGAGAAAAGCUAGAAUUUACGGCACACAAUCCUCAACUCUUACAUUAUGCAGAAGAGGCAAAGCUCAAGAAGUAGAUAGUGACUAAAUAUGAUAAAUAUACUUAUUGUCAGUAGUUUUGUUAGUUGGUUUGUCAAGAAUUACAUUAAUUGUAACCAUUAUAGUGAUUGUUUUAAACUAAUAAUGCUCUUCUAUGCAUUGGGCAGGUGUUUUUCGAGGAGAAGAGAACACUGCUUGAGCUACACUUUUAUGUGUCUCUCCUUCCAAUGCUAAAACAAUACACCCUUCUCUUUCAAUGCAAGGAGCCGAAGAUCCACAGACUGCACGAUGAGCAAGAAAUACUCCUUAAAGAGUUCUUGUCCUGUUUCAUCAAGCCAGAGAAACUCGUAAGAAAGGGGAAGAACUUGUCGAGACCAAACAUGAAGCUUCUUGAUUUAAGGUCAACCGAGACCCAUCUGCCAGAGCCUUUUAUCAGAUAUGAGGCCACAUCCAUUCUCGAAAAGCUUGGAAAAAAACAUCCCUUGGCAAAGUCUUUCAAUAUGAAGCAUUUGAUGUGCCAUUGACCUGCCAGCAAAACUGCCUCUGGACAAUCCAGUUCUGAGGACCCUGUCAUGCUUGGACCCGAAUGCCCGGGGAAGCCAGCACAUCAUUCCUCACCUAAAGAAAUUGCUGGAUAUGAUUCCAGCUGUGAAGCUUACAGAAGAGGAGAAAGCUGGUUUUCAGCAUGAAAUAUACAGAUAUGCAAAUGACAUGAUGUUGCCACCAAUGACGGAUGACACAAGAGUUGACCUGUGGUGGAAUGCAGUAAGACAAACAUUGAGGUACCCAACACUUGCCAAGAUGGCACUUUUUGCUUUAUGCCAUUUUCAUGGCCCUCAAGUAGAGUCUUCAUUUAGUAUGAUGGCCAACAUCAUGCAGGCCAAAACAAGCAGCCUUAAUGUGGAGACCUAUGAGGCCUAUGAAGUUGUAAAAUAUCAGCUGAAGGCCAUGCAGGUCUCAGCAAUUCAGCACUACUCCAGGCCGUCAAGGAACAGCCCCAUCAACCCAUCAAUCAUACAAAAUCUCAAACUGUCAAGCCGGAGAUACAGGGCAGAGAACAAAAGGAGGGCAGAACUUCAUGCUCCCAAUCCAGCCCGAAAGAAGGCAGCCAAAGACUCAUUAGUGGCAUCAGCUUUCAAAGCCAGAAAGACUUAGCAAAAGCUGCGGCUGAAAGCAUUGAAAAAGCU
ensembl:lncRNA